UGAGAAACGGCUACCACAUCCAAGGAAGGCAGCAGGCGCGCAAAUUACCCAAUCCCGACACGGGGAGGUAGUGACAAUAAAUACUGAUACAGGGCCCUUUCGGGUCUUGUAAUUGGAAUGAGUACAAUUUAAACCCUUUAACGAGGAACAAUUGGAGGGCAAGUCUGGUGCCAGCAGCCGCGGUAAUUCCAGCUCCAAUAGCGUAUAUUAAAGUUGUUGCAGUUAAAAAGCUCGUAGUUGAACUUUGGGUCUGGGUGACUGGUCUGCGUCUACCGCAUGUACUGGAAACCCGGAUCUUUCCUUCUGGAGAACCGCAUGCACUUUACUGGGUGUGCCGGGGAACCAGGACUUUUACUUUGAAAAAAUUAGAGUGUUCAAAGCAGGCAUUUGCUCGAAUACAUUAGCAUGGAAUAAUAAAAUAGGACGUGCGGUUCUAUUUUGUUGGUUUCUAGGACCGCCGUAAUGAUUAAUAGGGAUAGUCGGGGGCAUCCGUAUUCGAUUGUCAGAGGUGAAAUUCUUGGAUUUUUCGAAGACGAACUACUGCGAAAGCAUUUGCCAAGGAUGUUUUCAUUAAUCAGGAACGAAAGUUGAGGGAUCGAAGACGAUCAGAUACCGUCGUAGUCUCAACCAUAAACUAUGCCGACUAGGGAUUGGGCGACUGUGUUAUUUGAGUUGCUCA
rnacentral:rRNA from 1 species